GAUGAACGCUGGCGGCGUGCCUAAUACAUGCAAGUCGAGCGAACAGACGAGGAGCUUGCUCCUCUGACGUUAGCGGCGGACGGGUGAGUAACACGUGGAUAACCUACCUAUAAGACUGGGAUAACUUCGGGAAACCGGAGCUAAUACCGGAUAAUAUAUUGAACCGCAUGGUUCAAUAGUGAAAGACGGUUUUGCUGUAACUUAUAGAUGGAUCCGCGCCGCAUUAGCUAGUUGGUAAGGUAACGGCUUACCAAGGCAACGAUGCGUAGCCGACCUGAGAGGGUGAUCGGCCACACUGGAACUGAGACACGGUCCAGACUCCUACGGGAGGCAGCAGUAGGGAAUCUUCCGCAAAGGGCGAAAGCCUGACGGAGCAACGCCGCGUGAGUGAUGAAGGUCUUCGGAUCGUAAAACUCUGUUAUUAGGGAAGAACAAAUGUGUAAGUAACUAUGCACGUCUUGACGGUACCUAAUCAGAAAGCCACGGCUAACUACGUG
rnacentral:rRNA from 1 species